CCAUGCCGCGUGUGUGAAGAAGGCCUUCGGGUUGUAAAGCACUUUCAGUCGUGAGGAAGGUGGUAGUGUUAAUAGCGCUAUCAUUUGACGUUAGCGACAGAAGAAGCACCGGCUAACUCCGUGCCAGCAGCCGCGGUAAUACGGAGGGUGCGAGCGUUAAUCGGAAUUACUGGGCGUAAAGCGCAUGCAGGUGGUUUGUUAAGUCAGAUGUGAAAGCCCGGGGCUCAACCUCGGAAUUGCAUUUGAAACUGGCAGACUAGAGUACUGUAGAGGGGGGUAGAAUUUCAGGUGUAGCGGUGAAAUGCGUAGAGAUCUGAAGGAAUACCGGUGGCGAAGGCGGCCCCCUGGACAGAUACUGACACUCAGAUGCGAAAGCGUGGGGAGCAAACAGGAUUAGAUACCCUGGUAGUCCACGCCGUAAACGAUGUCUACUUGGAGGUUGUGGCCUUGAGCCGUGGCUUUCGGAGCUAACGCGUUAAGUAGACCGCCUGGGGAGUACGGUCGCAAGAUUAAAACUCAAAUGAAUUGACGGGGGCCCGCACAAGCGGUGGAGCAUGUGGUUUAAUUCGAUGCAACGCGAAGAACCUUACCUACUCUUGACAUCCAGAGAACUUUCCAGAGAUGGAUUGGUGCCUUCGGGAACUCUGAGACAGGUGCUGCAUGGCUGUCGUCAGCUCGUGUUGUGAAAUGUUGGGUUAAGUCCCGCAACGAGCGCAACCCUUAUCCUUGUUUGCCAGCGAGUAAUGUCGGGAACUCCAGGGAGACUGCCGGUGAUAAACCGGAGGAAGGUGGGGACGACGUCAAGUCAUCAUGGCCCUUACGAGUAGGGCUACACACGUGCUACAAUGGCGCAUACAGAGGGCAGCCAACUUGCGAAAGUGAGCGAAUCCCAAAAAGUGCGUCGUAGUCCGGAUUGGAGUCUGCAACUCGACUCCAUGAAGUCGGAAUCGCUAGUAAUCGUGGAUCAGAAUGCCACGGUGAAUACGUUCCCGGGCCUUGUACACACCGCCCGUCACACCAUGGGAGUGGGCUGCAAAAGAAGUAGGUAGUUUAACCUUCGGGGGGACGCUUACCACUUUGUGGUUCAUGACUGGGGUGAAGUCGUAACAAGGUAGCGCUAGGGGAACCUGGCGCUGGAUCACCUCCUUAAACGAUGAU
rnacentral:rRNA from 1 species